ACCGGCGCACGGGUGCGUAACGCGUAUGCAACCUGCCUUGUACAGGAGAAUAGCCCGAAGAAAUUCGGAUUAAUGCUCCAUAAUGAUAUUGAUUGGCAUCGAUUAAUAUUUAAAGCUACGGCGGUACAAGAUGGGCAUGCGUCCUAUUAGCUAGUUGGUGUGGUAACGGCACACCAAGGCAACGAUAGGUAGGGGGCCUGAGAGGGUUAUCCCCCACACUGGUACUGAGACACGGACCAGACUCCUACGGGAGGCAGCAGUGAGGAAUAUUGGUCAAUGGAGGCAACUCUGAACCAGCCAUGCCGCGUGCAGGAUUGACGGCCCUAUGGGUUGUAAACUGCUUUUAUAUAGGAAGAAUCUCCCGAACGUGUUCGGGAUUGACGGUAUUAUAUGAAUAAGGACCGGCUAACUCCGUGCCAGCAGCCGCGGUAAUACGGAGGGUCCAAGCGUUAUCCGGAAUCAUUGGGUUUAAAGGGUGCGUAGGCGGACAUAUAAGUCAGUGGUGAAAUCCCGAGGCUCAACUUCGGAACUGCCAUUGAUACUGUAUUGUCUUGAGUUUAGUUGAAGUAGGCGGAAUGUGUAGUGUAGCGGUGAAAUGCAUAGAUAUUACACAGAACACCGAUAGCGAAGGCAGCUUACUAAGCUACAACUGACGCUGAGGCACGAAAGCGUGGGGAGCGAACAGGAUUAGAUACCCUGGUAGUCCACGCAGUANACGAUGGUCACUCGAUAUCGGCGAUACAAUGUCGGUGUUCAAGCGAAAGUGAUAAGUGACCCACCUGGGGAGUAC
rnacentral:rRNA from 1 species